UGAAUGUGUCUGAUUGGGUAUUUGUCUG
rnacentral:sRNA from 1 species